AUUACUUGAGAUUUUUCCUGUUGUUUGAAAACCCUUUUAGAAAAAAACCCCAGCCCUUAAUAUUUUCCUUUCUUCUCCUUACCUCUUCCCUUUGUUCCAGUGAUCUGAUAGGGAGUGAGAGAGGGAAGGGCAGUGAAGUCUUUGUGUGGGCAUGCAUGUGUCUGUCUGAAAACUGAAUCAUAGUAGAAAACAUAAGAAAGAAGAAAGCUCAGCAAAUAUAGGACAACUUCAGGAAAGUAUCUAGCUCUGUUGGGGGUCAAACUUCAAUAAUGGAUAGGUGGCUGAAAACAGGCAGAUUGAAAGGGGAAGAAGAAAAUGAACAAAGUGAAAGUAGUGAAACUCUGCAGCACAGACAAAAUUUCUUAAUCACAUCACAUAUGCCAUUAUCCGAUAAAGCAAAACCUCCAAGUACAGCUGCGUGACUACUUUCCCAUUCCUGAGUCAAGAUACAACUGGAUUAGGAACCUCUUUGGGAGUGCUGAUAAUACUAUACUCUCAGACCUGACACCAAAAGAACAAGACAACUUAACAGAACUUGCAUGUGACAAUUGAAAGCUAUUCUUCACACAAAAGCACUUGUCUAACUUCUGGCUAUAUGUUCAUUCUGAGUUCCGAGAACUCUCUGAUAAGGCUGUGAAGUACCUGAUGCCUUUUCCUACAACUUAUGUUUGUGAAAGGGGAUUUUCUGCACUUGUUGCAUUGAAAUCAAAAUAUUGAAACAAGUUAGAUAUGGAACCAGAUUUAAGGUUGAAACUUACAUUACUUCAACCAGACUUCCAAUCUCUGACAGGUGCAAAUGAGCACCGGUCUUCUCAUUAACUCAAUUAUACCAUGGAUGUAUGAGGCUGAUUUUAAGAGCCUGUCAACACUUAAUCAUUUGGUCACCUGGACACUCUUGGGCUGCAUUCAGACUGUACAUUUAUUCCACUAUUAUUCCACUUGAAACAGUCAUGGCUUCCACCAAAGUAUGGUGGGAACUGUAGUUUCUUAAGGGUGCUCAGAGACCCUUGUUCCCCUCACAGAUCUACAAUUCUCAGAGUUUCCUGGGAAGAGGGUUGGAAUGUUAAACCACUCAGGGAAUUGUAGCUCUCUGAGGAGAACAGGAACCUCCUAACAACUCUCAGCACCCUUCACAAACUACACUUUCCAGGCUUCUUUGGGGGAAGCCAUGAGUAUUUAAAGCGAAUAAUAGCAGUAUAAAUAUAUGGUGUGAAUGUGGCCUGGUUUCACUCUUCUUUAGAUUGUGGGUUUCAGAAGUAAUUAUCUGAGCAGAUUCAUUUGGGGAGGGACCUGUUCUGGAGCCCCUGUGUGUGUGUGUGUGUGUGUGUGUGUGUGCGCGUGCAUGCACAUGCGUGCACACAUGCGUGCACAUGUGCCUGCACACAUGCAUGCACACGUAUGUGUAUGGGGCUGGUGCAUGAAGCCCCUAGUUGACCAUCCUUCAAAAUUUGUUAGAAGUUGUUUAUAUUGCUGCAACCUGC